GACGAACGCUGGCGGCGUGCUUAACACAUGCAAGUCGAACGGAAAGGCCCUGCUUUUGUGGGGUGCUCGAGUGGCGAACGGGUGAGUAACAAGUGAGUAACCUGCCCUUGACUUUGGGAUAACUUCAGGAAACUGGGGCUAAUACCGGAUAGGAUCUCCUGCUGCAUGGUGGGGGUUGGAACGUUUCGGCGGUUGGGGAUGGACUCGCGGCUUAUCAGCUUGUUGGUGGGGUAGUGGCUUACCAAGGCUUUGACGGGUAGCCGGCCUGAGAGGGGGACCGGCCACAUUGGGACUGAGAUACGGCCCAGACUCCUACGGGAGGCAGUAGUGGGGAAUAUGGCACAAUGGGCGGAAGCCUGAGGCAGCAACGCCGCGUGCGGGAUGACGGCCUUCGGGUUGUAAAACGCUUUCGCCUGUGACGAAGCGUGAGUGACGGUAAUGGGUAAAGAAGCACCGGCUAACUACGUG
rnacentral:rRNA from 1 species